AGUGAAUGCUGGCGGUAGGCCUAACACAUGCAAGUCGAACGGCAGCACAGUAAGAGCUUGCUCUUACGGGUGGCGAGUGGCGGACGGGUGAGGAAUACAUCGGAAUCUACUUUUUCGUGGGGGAUAACGUAGGGAAACUUACGCUAAUACCGCAUACGACCUACGGGUGAAAGCAGGGGAUCUUCGGACCUUGCGCGAUUGAAUGAGCCGAUGUCGGAUUAGCUAGUUGGCGGGGUAAAGGCCCACCAAGGGGACGAUCCGUAGCUGGUCUGAGAGGCUGAUCAGCCACACUGGAACUGAGACACGGUCCAGAGUCCUACGGGAGGCAGCAGUGGGGAAUAUUGGACAAUGGGCGCAAGCCUGAUCCAGCCAUACCGCGUGGGUGAAGAAGGCCUUCGGGUUGUAAAGCCCUUUUGUUGGGAAAGAAAAGCAGCAGGUUAAUACCCCGCUGUUCUGACGGUACCCAAAGAAUAAGCACCGGCUAACUUCGUG
rnacentral:rRNA from 1 species